UACGGAAGGCAGCAGUGGGGAAUAUUGCACAAUGGGCGCAAGCCUGAUGCAGCCAUGCCGCGUGUAUGAAAAAGGCCUUCGGGUUGUAAAGUACUUUCAGUCGUGAGGAAGGUGUUAAGGUUAAUAACCUUAGCAAUUGACGUUAGCGACAGAAGAAGCACCGGCUAACUCCGUGCCAGCAGCCGCGGUAAUACGGAGGGUGCGAGCGUUAAUCGGAAUUACUGGGCGUAAAGGGCACGCAGGCGGUUAAUUAAGUUGGAUGUGAAAUCCCCGGGCUUAACCUGGGAAUGGCAUUCAAGACUGGUUAGCUAGAGUCUUGUAGAGGGGGUAGAAUUCCAUGUGUAGCGGUGAAAUGCGUAGAGAUGUGGAGGAAUACCGGUGGCGAAGGCGGCCCCUGGACAAAGACUGACGCUCAUGUGCGAAAGCGUGGGGAGCAAACGAGGGAUUACGAUACC
rnacentral:rRNA from 1 species